GCUGGGGAUGGUGGCGGGUGCCUGUAAUCCCAGUUACUUGGGAGGCUGAGGCAGGAGAAUGGCUUGAGCCCAGGAGGCUGAGGCUGCAGUGAGCCAAGAUUGCGCCACUGCACUCCAGCCUGGGCGACUGAGCAGGACUCUGUCUCAA
rnacentral:SRP_RNA from 1 species